rnacentral:rRNA from 1 species
UACAGAGGGUGCGAGCGUUGUCCGGAAUCACUGGGCGUAAAGAGCUCGUAGGCGGUCUGUUGCGUCCGCUGUGAAAACUCGGGGCUUAACCCCGAGCCUGCAGUGGAUACGGGCAGACUAGAGGUAGGUAGGGGAGGAAUGGAAUUCCCGGUGUAGCGGUGAAAUGCGUAGAUAUUGGGAGGAACACCGAGUGGCGAAGGCGGCUCACCUGGACCGGUACUGACGCUGAUGCGCGAAAGCGUGGGGAGCAAACGGGGAUUAAGAAACCCGUUGUAACGUUCC